UGGGGAAUCGUCUAAUGGCAGGACAUUGGUUUUUGAUACCAAGUAUCCAGGUUCGAGUCCUGGCUCCCCAACCA
rnacentral:tRNA from 1 species